rnacentral:lncRNA from 1 species
AAUUGUCCUAUUAUGUAUAAUAGUAGCAUGGUUGAUAAUUUGAAGAAUGAGCUAAUUGGUGAUAAGUAUUUUCACAUUAUCUUUUUUAUGCCUCUCUAAGCCAUCCACAUUAUAUCGUAGAAUUGUUUCCAUAGUCCAUUGUUUAUAUUGUGGCUAAAUAGAUUUAUCUAAUACUUAAAUUUGGUCUUUAUAUAAUUUAUAUUCUAUGCAAUAUUAAGAUGUCUAUUGUACCUUCUAAAUUAUAGAUGUAGUUUCUAAUCUUAUUUAUAUAUUAAUGGUUAUUGAAACUUUGGAUGUUAAAUGUAAUAAAAUUUAUUAUCAUAUAAAAUAAAAGAGGU